rnacentral:tRNA from 2 species
UCCUCGUUAAUGUAGUGGUGAGUAUCCCCGCCUGUCACGCGGGAGACCGAGGUUCGAUUCCCCGACGAGGAG